rnacentral:rRNA from 1 species
UGGGGAAUUUUGGACAAUGGGCGAAAGCGCCUGAUCCAGCAAUGCCGCGUGAGUGAAGUAAAGGCCUUCGGGUUGUAAAGCUCUUUUGUCAGGGAAGAAACGGUGAGGGCUAAUAUCCCUUGCUAAUGACGGUACCUGAAGAAUAAGCACCGGCUAACUACGUGCCAGCAGCCGCGGUAAUACGUAGGGUGCAAGCGUUAAUCGGAAUUACUGGGCGUGGAUCAAAGCGUGCGCAGGCGGUUUUGUAAGUCUGAUGUGAAAUCCCCGGGCUCAACCUGGGAAUUGCAUUGGAGACUGCAAGGCUAGAAUCUGGCAGAGGGGGGUAGAAUUCCACGUGUAGCAGUGAAAUGCGUAGAUAUGUGGAGGAACACCGAUGGCGAAGGCAGCCCCCUGGGUCAAGAUUGACGCUCAUGCACGAAAGCGUGGGGAGCAAACAGGAUUAGAUACCCUGGUAGUCCACGCCCUAAACGAUGUCUAUUAGUU